rnacentral:rRNA from 1 species
AACGAACGCUGGCGGCGUGCUUAACACAUGCAAGUCGAACGCGAAAGUUUUCUUCGGAGAGCGAGUAGAGUGGCGCACGGGUGAGUAACGCGUAAGUUAUCUACCUCGGCAUCUGGAAUAACUCACCGAAAGGUGUGCUAAUACCGGAUACGUUGAGUAAUCAAGAAAGGUGGCCUCUGUAUAUGCUACUGUGCUGGGAUGAGCUUGCGUACCAUUAGCUAGUUGGUAGGGUAAUGGCCUACCAAGGCGACGAUGGUUAGCUGGUCUGAGAGGAUGAUCAGCCACACUGGAACUGAGACACGGUCCAGACUCCUACGGGUGGCUG